UACGUAGGGUGCGAGCGUUGUCCGGAAUCAUUGGGCGUAAAGAGCGUGUAGGCGGCCACUUAAGUCCUGCGUGAAAUCUUGCGGCUCAACCGCAAGCGGUCGUGGGAAACUGGGUGGCUAGAGUGCGGGAGAGGAGAGUGGAAAUUCCUGGUGUAGCGGUGGAAUGCGCAGAUAUCAGGAAGAACACCCGUGGCGAAGGCGGCUCUCUGGAACGCAACUGGACGCUGAAGACGCGAAAGCGUGGGGAGCAAACAGG
rnacentral:rRNA from 1 species